GAGCGGGCCCUUCGGGGUCAGCGGCAGACGGGUGAGUAACACGUGGGAACGUGCCCUUCGGUUCGGAAUAACUCAGGGAAACUUGAGCUAAUACCGGAUACGCCCUUUGGGGGAAAGGUUUACUGCCAAAGGAUCGGCCCGCGUCUGAUUAGCUAGUUGGUGGGGUAAUGGCCUACCAAGGCGACGAUCAGUAGCUGGUCUGAGAGGAUGAUCAGCCACACUGGGACUGAGACACGGCCCAGACUCCUACGGGAGGCAGCAGUGGGGAAUUUUGCGCAAUGGGGGAAACCCUGACGCAGCAACGCCGCGUGGAGGAUGACAUAUCUUGGUAUGUAAACUCCUUUCGAUAGGGAAGAUUAUGACGGUACCUAUAGAAGAAGCCCCGGCUAACUUCGUGCCAGCAGCCGCGGUAAU
rnacentral:rRNA from 1 species